rnacentral:lncRNA from 1 species
GCCGGAGCAGCGGGAAGGAUGACGAUGGGGGACAGCCGUACCGGAAGUUGUUGGUAUUUAUCGCUACGAAAAAUGAAUGGAUUCGGUUGAUGAUGUUGCGUUGCAUUCUCAAGCUUUAAGGAGCUCAAGACUGAUUGUCAUGAGAGACGAAAAACGCUUCAGGUUUCGGUAGACGGGGGGGGCCGAGGCGACCACGGUGAUGAAGAUGAAGCUGAGGCUGAAGAACGUGUUUGCCAUGUACUUCCUGGUGUCUCUCCUGGGCCUGAUGUACACCCUCAUCCAGCUGGGUCAGCACUGCGACUGCACUGAGCACGCCCAGACGAGGGACCGGACCAUCUCCAGGCUGCAGGGGGAGCUAAAGAACAUGCAGGCCAGACUGAAGACGGAGGAGCCACCCAAACCCCCAUUGCCAACCAUCUACGUCAUCACUCCCACCUACGCCAGGUAGCGUGACCUCGCCCCCACACGCAGGCCUGUCAGCUUUCCCGCCCGGGACACAGGCAGCCCCGUGAGCUCAUGAGACAGACGGUCCCCUCUCUGUCCCCUCUCUGCCCUAGCCCAGUUCAGUUCAGCUCAAUUCAAGGUGCUUUAUUGGCAUGACGGAAGAGUAUAAUCAGUGUUGCCAAAGCAAAACAAAUACUGUCAACAUAAAACACAAACUCUACAGACAUUUACAAUAAAGACACAAUCGUAAAGUAUUUACAUAUAGACAUAUUGAGCAUUACUGGGAGACAGACUCACUCUUAACUAACCUU